rnacentral:rRNA from 1 species
UCCAGACUCCUACGGGAGGCAGCAGUGGGGAAUAUUGCACAAUGGGGGAAACCCUGAUGCAGCGACGCCGCGUGAAGGAAGAAGUAUUUCGGUAUGUAAACUUCUAUCAGCAGGGAAGAAAAUGACGGUACCUAAAGAGGAAGCCACGGCUAACUACGUGCCAGCAGCCGCGGUAAUACGUAGGUGGCAAGCGUUGUCCGGAAUUACUGGGUGUAAAGGGAGCGUAGGCGGGAAUGCAAGUUGAAUGUUUAAACUAUGGGCUCAACCCAUAGUCGCGUUCAAAACUGCAUUUCUUGAGUGGAGUAGAGGCAGGCGGAAUUCCUAGUGUAGCGGUGAAAUGCGUAGAUAUUAGGAGGAACACCAGUGGCGAAGGCGGCCUGCUGGGCUUUUACUGACGCUGAGGCUCGAAAGUGUGGGGAGCAAACAGGAUUAGAUACCCUUGUA